UACGAAGGGGGGCAAGCGUUGUUCGGAAUUACUGGGCGUAAAGGGCGCGUAGGCGGCUUAUCAAGUCAGGCGUGAAAUUCCCGGGCUCAACCUGGGGGCUGCGCUUGAUACUGAUUGGCUUGAAUGCGGGAGAGGAUAGUGGAAUUCCCAGUGUAGAGGUGAAAUUCGUAGAUAUUGGGAAGAACACCGGUGGCGAAGGCGGCCCACUGGCUCGAUACUGACGCUGAGGUGCGAAAGCGUGGGGAGCAAACAGG
rnacentral:rRNA from 1 species